ensembl:lncRNA
AAAAGUCAUCACUGGACAGUGAAGAGGAAGUCGUGAAACCAGCAGGAGGUUUCAGUGAAGCUCCUAAUAGUGCUGAACAGGACCAUGGGCCUAUGGAGGUUCUGUGACACAAUUUCUGCUAAUAGUUGAUAGAGCAGUUACGCAUAAUAUCAUAAGACAUCUGUAGUCUAUUAUUUUUCCAUUAAUGUUUAGCCCUUCUCCAUAUUUGUCUUAAUGCAAAUGUAGUUGUCAUAAUAGUGUUGACAUGAUAUAAACAUAUAUAAAAUAUCAUGUUCUCAACACUAAUUGUCAAAAACGUGUGACAUAAGAUCUUAUAACUGGAGCAUAUAACAUGCUGAGAGAUGCUAUGAUAAUUGCUUAUGGUAACAUGGCUCAUAUACAGUAUAUUACUGGACACAGUGACAAUAUCUCAUGAUCAAAUACCAUAUCUGCCAUAACAUGUCUAUAACAGGGUGAGAUAGACAAAUAAUGAGAAUUCAUUUAAAGCAUGGACCUAAACAUUAUUAUAUAACGUUAUUUUCUUCUCGUUUGCAGGAUGGUUCCAGGAAUCUAGACGAGGACAAACCUGUUGUGGACCCCUUUUUGGACUUGGUCCCGUCAAAAACAGGAGGCUUUACAACUGACCGUAUCCCCUGGAAGGACAAAAAAAACAACCUGGUGAAAAACGAAUACAUAAGGAUCAAGGAAGAUGGGUUUUAUUUUCUCUAUGGACAGGUGACCCUGCAGUCUGCCAGUAAGACCUCUACUACUGUGAAAAUAAUAAAGGAGGUUGGCAAGGAUAACAAAGAACUUGUUGUGGAGGGGUCCAUUGGUGUGGGGUCGCUCUCAACCGGCUUCAUUGGUAAGAUUCUGCGCCUGGAGGCUGAUAGUAACAUUAGCAUGAGCUGUUCUAACCAUCACCUGAUCAAAACAAACAAAAAUGACAAUUUUGUCACCUUCAUGGGAAUUUAUAGACUGAAUAAAUUCUGACUGAGUGCUCCAGUGCUCUGAGGAAUGGGCCUAGAGGAUGUUAAGCCACCAGUUCACUAAGCCCCAGCUCUAGUUCUGUUCCUUUGGACUAUGAAGGUAUAGCCAUUUGUCUGUGAAGGUGUAGCCGGUGUGUCUGUGUAUCCACCAUCCCGCUCAGAAAGAGACGCUGAAAGAUGCUAGACAGCAGCAUGAUUGUUAAAGUUUUGUGAUUUAUGUGUAUCUCGCUGGAUGAUAUGUUCCAAACUAGGAGCCACACUCAUGGAUUAGCUGAUCCAAUCUGCCCAGUUCCUGCCCAGGGGCAGUAUCAUACCUGACCUCUGACCUCUAGCCCAGCAAUGGUAACAGAUUGCUUGAUCCGUCCAUCAUGAUCUUAGGAGAACCAUGCCUGAGAAAUGACAUGAUAGAUCGCACGUCCUGUCAUUAAUCAUCCAGAUGAUGUUUGAUAAUAGAACGGCACAAUGUCAUAUUCUAUUAAGCUGUUAAGCAUAAGAAAUUAGAUUUCACAUAUUUCGUUUUUAUUUCAUUUAUCCACAGUGUGAGGACAACACUUUAAAAAAGGUUAGAAAGGGCACUAGUUUUGAGACCUUUGCUUCUGAAUGCAUAAUAAUGCAAAUACAUUGAGGCCUCACUGGAAACUUCAAGAAUGUCAAGUGCACUCCCACAUUUAUGACAAUCCACCACUUGAGACUUGCCAUUGUAUGUGUGAAGUACAAACUCUGUUUUGAAAGUGGCACUGAAAAAGAGAGAAGAUGAAAAACGAGAGAAGAAAGUAGUCAUUUUUUUUUUUUACCCCCAUAUGUAUGUAUUACAGUCAGAACUGUAUGCGUAUUUGCAUCUGAUUCAUCAUUAUGCUAUGAACUGUGGAAAGUUUAUUUAUAUAAAUAUAUUUAUUUAUUUACAUAUAAUAUUUUUUGUAUACCAGUGACAUUCAAUGUUUUGAAAAAACUAAAGAUUUGUGA